rnacentral:rRNA from 1 species
UACGGUAGGGUGCAAGCGUUAUCCGGAAUUAUUGGGCGUAAAGAGCUCGUAGGCGGUUUUGUCGCGUCUGCUGUGAAAACUGGAGGCUCAACCUCCAGCCUGCAGUGGGUACGGGCAGACUAGAGUGCGGUAGGGGAGAUUGAAUUCCUGGUGUAGCGGUGGAAUGCGCAGAUAUCAGGAGGAACACCGAUGGCGAAGGCAGAUCUCUGGGCCGUAACUGACGCUGAGGAGCGAAAGCAUGGGGAGCGAACAGG